rnacentral:misc_RNA from 1 species
UUAAGUUCAGCGGGUAUUCCUACCUGAUCCGAGGUCAACCAUAUAAAAAAGAUAGGUUUCUUUUGGCUAGAGAGCGUCCUGCACCAGAACGAGGUAGGUUACUACGUUCAGUUUCAGGGCGCACCCGCCACUGUCUUUAGGGGGCUGCAGCGCAGGGCCCCAACGCCAGGCGGAGCCUGAGGGUUGAAAUGACGCUCGAA